AAAUUGAAGAGUUUGAUCAUGGCUCAGAUUGAACGCUGGCGGCAGGCCUAACACAUGCAAGUCGAACGGUAACAGGAAGCAGCUUGCUGCUUCGCUGACGAGUGGCGGACGGGUGAGUAAUGUCUGGGAAACUGCCUGAUGGAGGGGGAUAACUACUGGAAACGGUAGCUAAUACCGCAUAACGUCGCAAGACCAAAGAGGGGGACCUUCGGGCCUCUUGCCAUCGGAUGUGCCCAGAUGGGAUUAGCUUGUUGGUGGGGUAACGGCUCACCAAGGCGACGAUCCCUAGCUGGUCUGAGAGGAUGACCAGCCACACUGGAACUGAGACACGGUCCAGACUCCUACGGGAGGCAGCAGUGGGGAAUAUUGCACAAUGGGCGCAAGCCUGAUGCAGCCAUGCCGCGUGUAUGAAGAAGGCCUUCGGGUUGUAAAGUACUUUCAGCGGGGAGGAAGGGAGUAAAGUUAAUACCUUUACUCAUUGACGUUACCCGCAGAAGAAGCACCGGCUAACUCCGUGCCAGCAGCCGCGGUAAUACGGAGGGUGCAAGCGUUAAUCGGAAUUACUGGGCGUAAAGCGCACGCAGGCGGUUUGUUAAGUCAGAUGUGAAAUCCCCGGGCUCAACCUGGGAACUGCAUCUGAUACUGGCAAGCUUGAGUCUCGUAGAGGGGGUAGAAUUCCAGGUGUAGCGGUGAAAUGCGUAGAGAUCUGGAGGAAUACCGGUGGCGAAGGCGGCCCCCUGGACGAAGACUGACGCUCAGGUGCGAAAGCGUGGGGAGCAAACAGGAUUAGAUACCCUGGUAGUCCACGCCGUAAACGAUGUCGACUUGGAGGUUGUGCCCUUGAGGCGUGGCUUCCGGAGCUAACGCGUUAAGUCGACCGCCUGGGGAGUACGGCCGCAAGGUUAAAACUCAAAUGAAUUGACGGGGGCCCGCACAAGCGGUGGAGCAUGUGGUUUAAUUCGAUGCAACGCGAAGAACCUUACCUGGUCUUGACAUCCACGGAAGUUUUCAGAGAUGAGAAUGUGCCUUCGGGAACCGUGAGACAGGUGCUGCAUGGCUGUCGUCAGCUCGUGUUGUGAAAUGUUGGGUUAAGUCCCGCAACGAGCGCAACCCUUAUCCUUUGUUGCCAGCGGUCCGGCCGGGAACUCAAAGGAGACUGCCAGUGAUAAACUGGAGGAAGGUGGGGAUGACGUCAAGUCAUCAUGGCCCUUACGACCAGGGCUACACACGUGCUACAAUGGCGCAUACAAAGAGAAGCGACCUCGCGAGAGCAAGCGGACCUCAUAAAGUGCGUCGUAGUCCGGAUUGGAGUCUGCAACUCGACUCCAUGAAGUCGGAAUCGCUAGUAAUCGUGGAUCAGAAUGCCACGGUGAAUACGUUCCCGGGCCUUGUACACACCGCCCGUCACACCAUGGGAGUGGGUUGCAAAAGAAGUAGGUAGCUUAACCUUCGGGAGGGCGCUUACCACUUUGUGAUUCAUGACUGGGGUGAAGUCGUAACAAGGUAACCGUAGGGGAACCUGCGGUUGGAUCACCUCCUUA
rnacentral:rRNA from 1 species